rnacentral:rRNA from 1 species
UACGGAGGGGGCUAGCGUUGUUCGGAAUUACUGGGCGUAAAGGGCUCGUAGGCGGUCUGUUGCGUCGGGAGUGAAAACUCAGGGCUUAACCCUGAGCCUGCUUCCGAUACGGGCAGACUAGAGGUAUGCAGGGGAGAACGGAAUUCCUGGUGUAGCGGUGAAAUGCGCAGAUAUCAGGAGGAACACCGGUGGCGAAGGCGGUUCUCUGGGCAUUACCUGACGCUGAGGAGCGAAAGUGUGGGGAGCGAACAGG